GUGGGUAGAGCUCAGUGGUAGAGCACAUGCCUACUGCGAGUGAGGUCCUGGGUUCAAUCCCCAGUACCUCCA
rnacentral:tRNA from 1 species